rnacentral:rRNA from 1 species
UACGGAAGGGGCAAGCGUUUGUUCGGAAUCAUUGGGCGUAAAGGGCGCGUAGGUGGUUCUGUAUGUCUACCGUGAAAGCGUACGGCUCAACCGUAUUUUGUCGGUGGAAACUGCAGGACUUGAGGCUGGGAGGGGCUGGUGGAAUUCCCUGUGUAGCGGUGAAAUGCGUAGAGAUGGGGGAGAACACUCGUGGCGAAGGCGGCCAGCUAGACCAGUUCUGACACUGAGGCGCGACAGCGUGGGGAGCAAACAGG